GAAUGAAUGGGGAUCCCUAUCAAUAUAAGAAGAAUAUCUAAUUAGAGUUUUCUCCCUUUCUCUCACUCAAUAGAUCUAUCUGGUCUUAUACGGCACAGUACAAUACGAGACGAUGGAAUGCAAUGGGAUAGAUGGUAGAGGGCUGCCUGCGCCCAAAAGCGAUGAUUCACUUGUCCCCUUGUCCAUAGGGACCUCGUGGCAUACAACCGAAACGACUCCCGCUAGAUAGCCGCCCCUUUCUCUCUUUUUACAGCCUCGUGGACGGACGAAAGAAGGGAAGUUACAGAACGGGGCAGUGAAGGCUCGCGAAGUAGACAGCAAGCAGCAAGCAAGAGCUUCUCAGCCCCCUAACCUUUCUCUUUUAUAAUAAUAUCGAAAUGACUCCCGCUAGAUAGCCGCCCUUUUUCUCUCUUUUUACAGCCUCGUGGACGGACGAAAGAAGGGAAGUUACAGAACGGGGCAGUGAAGGCUCGCGAAGUAGACAGCAAGCAGCAAGCAAGAGCUUCUCAGCCCCCUAACCUUUCUCUUUUAUAAUAAUACUUCUUUUUAGAAUCAGGUAAGCUUUGAAGCUGGCUGCUCUGCUAUACUAUACUAGUUGUAGGGCGCUA
rnacentral:lncRNA from 1 species